CAGGUGGAGCCUGCGGUUCAAUCGGACUCAACGCCGGGAAACUCACCAGAUAAGACAGCUGAAUGAUAGUCGGGCUGAAGACUCUACUUGACUAGCUGAGAGGAGGUGCAUGGCCGUCGUCAGUUCGUACUGUGAAGCAUCCUGUUAAGUCAGGCAACGAGCGAGACCCACGCCAACAGUUGCCAGCUCGUCCUCCGGGAUGGUGGGGACACUGUUGGGACCGCCUCUGCUAAAGAGGAGGAAGGAAUGGGCAACGGUAGGUCAGCAUGCCCCGAAUUAUCUGGGCUACACGCGGGCUACAAUGGGUGGGACAAUGGGUAUCGACACCGAAAGGUGAAGGCAAUCUCCUAAACCCAUCCGUAGUUCGGAUUGUGGGCUGCAACUCGCCCACAUGAAGCUGGAAUCUGUAGUAAUCGUGUCUCAAAAUGGCACGGUGAAUAUGUCCCUGCUCCUU
rnacentral:rRNA from 1 species